rnacentral:rRNA from 1 species
CGCCAGCAGCCGCGGUAAUACCGGCGGCUCGAGUGGUGGCCGAUAUUAUUGAGUCUAAAGGGUCCGUAGCCGGCUUCGCAAGUCCCCUGGGAAAUCCAGCGGCUUAACCGUUGGUCGUCCAUGGGAUACUACGUUGCUUGGGACUGGGAGAGGUGGGAGGUACUCGGGGGGUAGGGGUGAAAUCCUGUAAUCCUCCGGGGACCACCGGUGGCGAAGGCGUCCUACCAGAACAGGUCCGACGGUGAGGGACGAAAGCUAGGGGCACGAACCGGAUUAGAUACCCGGGUAGUCCUAGCCGUAAACGAUGCCCGCUAGGUGUCACGACAGUCGUGAAUUAUCGUGGUGCCGUAGGGAAGCCGCGAAGCGGGCCACUUGGGAAGUACGACCGCAAGGUUGAAACUUAAAGGAAUUGGCGGGGGAC